rnacentral:lncRNA from 1 species
AGCUGCCUUGACUGAGUAAGUCAGAGAAGGCUUCCUGGAGGAGAGCGAAGGGUGUGGGGCUGGGUUGAGAUACAGGAAGAUCUGGGUUUGAAUUAUAGUUUGGCUGCUUCCUAGCUGUUUGAUCUUGGACAAAACUUUCAUUCAUUCUAUAUUUUUUGGAGUGUCUACUCCAUGCCAAUCAUGUGUGAAAUGUUGGGAUAACAAAGGCGAAUUCAAUCUGGCUCUCGUCCUCGGAGCUUAAGCAAAUCAUCUGGGGUAGCGUGACCCAUGCUACGAUGGAGGUGGAAUACGGGGCUGCAGGGCGGGGCCACAGGACAUAGUGGGCAGCUUAACCUCCUUGAGCCUCCCUAUCCCUAAUUCACGUGAUGGGGUUUGUAACCACUUCUCACAUCGUUGAGAGAAAAGGGUGAGCCUGACUCAGAGGUGUGGCAAAGGAAGGGCAGGGCAGGCUUUAAGGACAGGGACAGGGCUGUCAGAGGCUGAGGCUAGGGAGGGGCAGGAAGGGGUGUGAGGCAGGGCGGAAGAGAGCAGGGCCCUGGGCAGGUGCUGAGCCAGGUCCUGCAGGUCACCCAGUCGCUUGAGUCCACGAAUGCUGGAGGCAGGCACUGGAGAGCCAGGGUGGUUCAGCCGCAGCUCCUCUGAGCAGGGAGUCAAACAGGGCUGAAACAGACACCAGCUCUCCAGGACCAGCUGGUAAGAGCUUCUCCACUGCCCCCGAGCCCUGACAGGAGGACUCCCACAGUGUGCAUGGAAGCCCAGGGAGCUCGGGGGCUACAGAGGCACCAUUGGCUCUGGAGCCUGCAGCCCAGACAGCCCCCUCCAGAUGUAAUGGGGGAAGGAGCCAGGGACUGGGAGGAAUUCAGAGGUCAGAGGAGGAGCAGUAUCAGGAGAUACUGCCCUCCUGCAACUCCUCCUCCCAGCUGCUCUCCCCUCCUGCUAGUGCCCACAAUGGCUCCCAGCUGCCUCCUAUAAGGAAGCUUUAUUAGCCUGCAGCCUGUACUCCUCCACGCAGCAGAGCUGACAGGACCCCAUUAGUCAGCUUAUUCAACCCUUCCCCUGGUGCACAAACCCUUGCCAAGCUUUUCUGGCAUUUUGCUCAGCCUGCUUGGACCCUCCAAGCAGGUAGGAACUCACUGUUUCACAAAGCAGUGUUAUUAGAAAGGUUUCCCUGACCCUAGCCCCCCACAUCUAAUCUUUCUCAAAUGUGGGCAGACUUGUUCCUGGCCCCUUCUCAUUCCACCAGUGCACACAUGCACAUGCUCCCUCUCUCCAUCCAAGCUCCAGGAAUCAACCUCUACCCUGAACCAGGUCCCUGAGGACCACCACGUGGCUGCAACACAGCAGGAGUUCACAGUCCAGAGGAGAAGCCCGAUGCUGAACAGAGAAUCACAUCCGUGAGCAACACAAAAGGCAAGGCAAACCCUGGGCAGAUGCCCCCGGGACUGUGUGUUAUGGGCCUACAGGAAGCCUCUCCCAAUGAAAAAGCAAUUUUUCAGCCAGAACCUCCACCAGUGUCUUUCAAACUGUGAGUGGCAACCCAUUUGUGGGUCAUAAAAUCAAUUUAGUAGUUGUGACCUGAAUUACUUGUUAGUGAAAUAGAGAGGAAUUUACAACAUCACACUUAGGAAAUACUGUUUUGUGAAAUGUUAGUUUCAGUUAUCUAUCUAUCUAUCUGUCUGUCUGAGAGAUCAUGUUUAUUAGUUAAGAUAUUAAAUGUAUUUCUUACUGCAGGUCUCAAUCAAAAACCUCUGAAAGCCACUGGCCUAGAGUUAGAGGAAGAGUUAGCCAUGAGAAAUGGUGGUGACACAGGUUCCAAAAGAAGAAACAAUAGGUAUCAGGCUCAGAGAUGAAAGGGCUAGAAGGAGGACACACCAAGUUCAAGGUCUGGCCUUUCUCGAGGGCAGUGGGGAGCCAUGGGAGGUUAGCAAGAUCCCAUCUUCUUCAUCCCUGGGCCUCACCCCAUGGGCAGGAGGGAAAUGGCAGGAAGUUGUCUUUGUGUCUCCCCAGGAGCCUGGACCUGUGGCCUUCCCUGCCUCCACCUGGGCCUCAACCGUCACGACCACCUGGCCUUUGAGGUAGGGUUUGGAGAAGGAAGUCAGCCUAUUAUCAGGAGAAGGCUUGAAUUUCUAUAUUCAUAGCUUGUUUCUGUCACUUACUAGCCUUGUGAUCAUGGGCAACUUGUCUAAUCUCUGUCCCUCAGUUUCCUCCUUUGUAAAAUAGGUCUCAUAGAACUCAUCCCCAAAAGUCCUUGUGAAGAUUUAGUUUGUAAGCCAGAUGUCUGCAGACCUCCAGUAAAAGAAUAUGUUUUUGGUAUUAGUAUGUAUGUCCCAAAUAUUGCUUGGAAUAUGCUUAUACAAACAAAAAUCAUUUGUUUUUUAUCUGAAAUUCAAAUUUACCUGGAUGUCCUGUAUUUUAUCUGGAAACCCUACACAGAAAUCAAAUGGCUCACGCUGUGUCUCAGAGCUGCAACGAUCCAACGCCCUCCAUCCUUCAGAGGCUGUCUGAGUCCGGGGACACAACUCCCACCCUCCUCUCCUGCCAGCCGCGGCCCGUGGCUGCUCUCUUCACUUCGUCCCGCUUCGCCCCGACUGUGGAUCUACCCGCUCCCUUCUCCCUCAGUCCCCAAAGCACCAGACUCACAGGCCUGCUGUGUGACCCACUUUUACCGACCUUUCGGGGAGAGUAGAGGGCAUUUGUGACUCAGCUCAGAGCAGGAAACACAUCUCACGUCAACUGUCAGACAGCGCUGCUCCGAAUCCCAUCACAGUGCUCCAGCAGGGGGCGUCCUCACCGGCCGCGGCCACAGCCACGGCUCAACCCGGCCUAGCUCCCAGACACCCUCCUUCCACCGCCUGUUUUCCACCGUCCCCGCCUGCUCUUUCAAGCCAGCAGCAAACAACACCCUAAUCCGUGUCUUUAUUAUUCAAAGACCUUAAGCACUCUUUCCCACCUCGUUCCCAUCUUGAUUAUUUCAGGGAAUGAAUUAGGGAUUCACCUUUACAAUCAAAAAAGUUCUCUCAAAGCCAGGCUACUGGAGUUCUAAUUCUGCCUUCCCACUUUUACUAGCUGUGAAAUCUCAGGAAAGUUACUUAACCUCUCUCUGUCUCAUUUUCCUCAUCUUUAAAAAACAGGAUGAUAAUAUUUAGCUCCUAAGAUGGUUGUGAGGAUUUAAGUGAGCUGAUAUAUCCAAGAAUGUCUAGAACAGCGCGUGGCAGAAUGGGCAUUGCAUAUGGGUUUAAUCUUGUAACUGCCAUGUUUCACCAAUUCUAAGGUGUAUCUCGUUUCUCAUCAUAAGAGCUCUUCCGCUCGUGUGGCAGCUGGGAGUGGCCGUCAUUGCCUGCGCAUACCUAAACUUGGUCAGCAGCCAAGUGUUUUGUGAGACCUAAGAAAGGAAGAGCCCCAUAAGUAAAUGGAACUGUUGUGUUGUUUUAUUACCGAGAAAAGGGCAGAAUGAUUGCUAGUCACACGUGAAGCAAGAAAACCCCGGCAAUAAAGCUUGCAGAAUGAGUGGCUGAGGCUUGAAAAUAAAUGGUGGAAACAAUAGUGGACAAUCUUUUAAAGAAUGGCACAUUGCCAAUGCUCCUGAUGGCACAGAAGGUGACACCAUGCAGAAAAUCAAGGCUCUGAGUCAAAGAGGGUUUCAGAAAAAUUGGACUCUGAAUGUGAAGAAAUCUGGGGACUAUUUUAGCCAAUUUGUUUUGCCUAUAAUUUCCUUUUAUGCAUGCAAAAGAGCAAUUCUGAC